rnacentral:misc_RNA from 1 species
CCUCAAGGGAAUAUCCACUGACCGAAUUCUAGACGUGAGGAAGCUGCUGGGCUCCCAUGUAGAUACAUGCCACUUAACUAACUAUUCACUCGCGCACGUGGCCCGUGGGCAGCGGUUGAGCGACGGUGUGGAAAUCGUGAGCAUCAAGCCUUGUGUGCUUCGCAUUGUGGAAGAGGACUAUAUAACAGAAAAUCUAGCGGUUGCGCACGUGCGGAGACUGCUAGACAUUGUAGCUUGCACCACGGCCUUCGGCAAGAACAACAACAAGGCCAGGAAGCAGAGCCCUCCUUCUCCG